rnacentral:tRNA from 1 species
GGGUGAUUAACUCAGCGGUAGAGUGCUUCGUUCACAUCGAAGAAGUCAUUGGUUCAAAUCCAAUAUCACCCA